AAGUCUGGUGCCAGCAGCCGCGGUAAUUCCAGCUCCAAUAGCGUAUAUUAAAAUUGUUGCGGUUAAAACGCUCGUAGUUGGAUAUCUGUGAGCGGGUUUCGGUCCUUCCCAGUGAAGAUUACACGGAACUCUGCUCGCAUUUGUUCAGGGAGGGUGGAUGCACUUCACUGUGUGACCACAUGAUCUGAAUUUUUACUUUGAGGAAAUGAGAGUGUUCCAAGCAGGCAAUCGCCGUGAAUAUGAUAGCAUGGAAUAAUAGCACAGGACUCUUGGUUCAAUGCUGUUGGUUUGUUGAACUAGAGCAAUCACAAUA
rnacentral:rRNA from 1 species